rnacentral:rRNA from 1 species
GACGAACGCUGGCGGCGUGCUUAACACAUGCAAGUCGAGCGAUGAAGUUUCUUCGGAAAUGGAUUAGCGGCGGACGGGUGAGUAACACGUGGGUAACCUGCCUCAUAGAGGGGAAUAGCCUUCCGAAAGGAAGAUUAAUACCGCAUAAGAUUGUAGUGCCGCAUGGCAUAGCAAUUAAAGGAGUAAUCCGCUAUGAGAGGGAACCGCGUCGCAUUAGCUAGUUGGUGAGGUAACGGCUCACCAAGGCGACGAUGCGUAGCCGACCUGAGAGGGUGAUCGGCCACAUUGGGACUGAGACACGGCCCAGACUCCUACGGGAGGCAGCAGUGGGGAAUAUUGCACAAUGGGGGAAACCCUGAUGCAGCAACGCCGCGUGAGUGAUGACGGUCCUCGGAUUGUAAAGCUCUGUCUUCAGGGACGAUAAUGACGGUACCUGAGGAGGAAGCCACGGCUAACUACGUGCCAGCCGCCGCUGUAACAC